rnacentral:rRNA from 1 species
GUAGGUGGCAAGCGUUGUCCGGAAUUAUUGGGCGUAAAGCGCGCGCAGGCGGUCCUUUAGGUCUGAUGUGAAAGCCCACGGCUCAACCGUGGAGGGUCAUUGGAAACUGGGGGACAUGAGUACAGAAGAGGAAAGCGGAAUUCCAAGUGUAGCGGUGAAAUGCGUAGAGAUUUGGAGGAACACCAGUGGCGAAGGCGGCUUUCUGGUCUGUAACUGACGCUGAGGCGCGAAAGCGUGGGGAGCAAACAGGGAUUAGAUACCCUGGUAGUCCACGCCGUAAACGAUGAGUGCUAAGUGUUAGGGGGUUUCCGCCCCCUUAGUGCUGCAGCUAACGCAUUAAGCACUCCGCCUGGGGAGUACGGCCGCAAGGCUG